rnacentral:ncRNA from 1 species
CAGCGGGUGCGAAUCCCGCCCGGCAACUUUCGUUCCAGCCGGAAGUAAUCAGAGCAGUCGUGGCGGUAACAAAGCGGCUGAAGCCUCUGGUGUAUAGGAUCAUUUUAGUGAUUCAGCGAGUAUGCAGGCCGUAACGUGA